ensembl:lncRNA
GCCCAAAGCCACGUGUUGCUGUCUGCCUGUGGAUUCCAAGGCUUUGGAUAGAGCGGAGAGGGAGUGACUACCCUGUCUGGCUGCAGCCCCAGUGGCUCUGUGCAGGGUUGGGGAGUAGUCUUUGCCAAGUCACCCCACAAGAGAUGCUCAGUCAGCUUGGUGGAGUUGGGAGUGGGAAGGAACAAGAAGAACCUCCAGCUGUACUCUGCCUGACACUUACGACAUGCACCAUCCUUCCCCACGCAUUCUGGCCAAGCCACCCCUGGGAACUCUGGCCAAACAGCCUCGCCAGCCCCCUGAGCGGGAAAGGGCCAAGGGCUCCAGCUGCAGAUGUCCCUCCCAGAGGGAGCCUGAGGCCCGGCUCACACGGAACUUGGAGGGGAAAGGGGAAGAAAUGCUUAGUCACUCAGUCGUGUCUGACUAUUUGCAGCCCUGCAGACUGUAGCCCUCCAGGCUCUUCUGUCC